CCGGCCAUGACAAGCAGCAUGUGAAGAUGCCAGUAAGCCACGAGCCACGUGGAAAGGAGAACACUGAGGAACAAAGAUAUAAUCCACCCACAGUAACAGAGUUACUAAGUUACUUCUGUCAUUAGACCGUAGCCAUUGAUAGAAGAAAGGAUCCCAGGAGAGUCCAAUCACCUGUUGUUUAUCGUGAGCAUAUCGCACAUAAAAGCAGAACGUUAAGGCUGGAAGAUCUGAAAGGGAAGUCGGUAUUGUGGUGUCCAAGCAGCAAAGCUGCAGAAGGAGUGGACUGUGAAUUCACAUACAUGGUGCCAUAGAAAAAGCAUUCUUACAAGCAUCCUCUCAUCAAAAACAGAGCUUCAACUUCUGAAAGGUCCUACUAUCAAACCUGCACUGGGCACGUGCGUCCACAUCUGUGUCUCUUCCUCAGUCCUCUCCACCUUAACUAUCUUCAGGCAACAGUCCGGGAAAUUGGUCACCACGGCAGACCUCCUAUGGGAACCUUGAGAGAGCUUGUAAGAGACAGAGCACGAGACAGCAUCUGGUCUUCCUUGAUGCAGCAGAAGGAAACAGACAGAGGAACAAGGCAUAGCAUUCACCAUGCAUUUCACCUAGCACACAGGGGCUUACAGAACAGCUGCUAGUAAGGGAACAAGUGAACGAAUGGAGGAGAUAUCAGGACUUUGUCUCCAGUCUGCUCCAGGGGCCAGGAUGACUAUCCCAGCUUCCUGUGUCACCCUGGAAAGAGGAAACAAUUUCUUUCCCUUUAAACUCCUUGAUUUUCAGUCAUGGCCCCAGUAACAUAAAACAGAUCAACAAAAGGAAAGUCACAAGUUUAUUGAACACAAGUCAGUGGGCAAACUGCUUGCUGUUCAAGCAUGAGGGCCUGCAUCCCGAUCCCCAACAGCCAUGUCAAAGUUGGCCAUGAUGGCAUAUACCUGUAACUCCAUCCAGUGCUGGGGUUGGGGACAGGCAAAGACAGGGGUAUCUCUGUAGCCAGCCAGGCUAGAUGAGUGAAUGAGUACCAGGGUCAGGGAGAGACCCUGUCUCAAAAAAUAAGGUAGAUAGCAAAGAGAAAGAUACCAGAAACUGACAACCUGUAGCUUCCACAGAAGCAUGCAUAGGUGAGUGCAUACACAUACACACAUACACCA